rnacentral:rRNA from 1 species
UGGGGAAUUUUGGACAAUGGGCGAAAGCCUGAUCCAGCAAUGCCGCGUGUGUGAAGAAGGCCUUCGGGUUGUAAAGCACUUUUGUCCGGAAAGAAAUCCUUGGCUCUAAUACAGUCGGGGGAUGACGGUACCGGAAGAAUAAGCACCGGCUAACUACGUGCCAGCAGCCGCGGUAAUACGUAGGGUGCAAGCGUUAAUCGGAAUUACUGGGCGUAAAGCGUGCGCAGGCGGUUUGCUAAGACCGAUGUGAAAUCCCCGGGCUCAACCUGGGAACUGCAUUGGUGACUGGCAGGCUAGAGUAUGGCAGAGGGGGGUAGAAUUCCACGUGUAGCAGUGAAAUGCGUAGAGAUGUGGAGGAAUACCGAUGGCGAAGGCAGCCCCCUGGGCCAAUACUGACGCUCAUGCACGAAAGCGCGGGGAGCAAACAGGAUUAGAUACCCUGGUAGUCCACGCCCUAAACGAUGUCAACUAGUUGUUGGGGAUUCAUUUCCUUAGUAACGUAGCUAACGCGUGAAGUUGACCGCCUGGGGAGUACGGUCGCAAGAUUAAAACUCAAAUGAAUUGACGGGGUCAUAGCUGUUU